CCUACGGGGGGCUGCAGUGGGGAAUAUUGGACAAUGGGCGCAAGCCUGAUCCAGCCAUGCCGCGUGAGUGAUGAAGGCCUUAGGGUUGUAAAGCUCUUUCGUCCGGGACGAUAAUGACGGUACCGGAAGAAGAAGCCCCGGCUAACUUCGUGCCAGCAGCCGCGGUAAUACGAAGGGGGCUAGCGUUGUUCGGAAUCACUGGGCGUAAAGGGCGCGUAGGCGGCUUUGUAAGUCGGGGGUGAAAGCCUGUGGCUCAACCACAGAAUUGCCUUCGA
rnacentral:rRNA from 1 species